AGUCCCUACGGGGCGCAGCAGUGGGGAAUAUUGCGCAAUGGGCGAAAGCCUGACGCAGCGACGCCGCGUGAGGGAUGAAGGUCUUCGGAUCGUAAACCUCUGUCAGCAGGGAAGAACGGUCACUGUGCUAAUCAGCAGUGAAUUGACGGUACCUGCAAAGGAAGCACCGGCUAACUCCGUGCCAGCAGCCGCGGUAAUAUGGAGGGUGCGAGCGUUAAGCGGAAUUACUGGGCGUAAAGCGCUCGUAGGCGGUAUGACAAGUCAAGGGCGAAAUCACC
rnacentral:rRNA from 1 species